GGUAUUACUUGACUUAGAUAUGUUAAGUGAAAAGCAAAACAAGUAUCCAAAAUCCAAGAAAUAAAAGAUGUGAUGCAAAUUUGGAGAUUACUAUGGAUCUCCCAGAUUUUUCUUAAAAUCCAGGAGUAUCGCACACCCUAUGGUGGCUGGUCUGCUCUCAAGGACACACUGCAAAUAUAUGCCGUGCGAUACCUGAUCUCAUUUGUCUUCUUAUUCCCUCUUUGCUUUUCAUCAUUUCAUUAUAUCACCUCAAUCCAUCUUUUUUUUUCUUUUUUCUUUAAAUCAAAUAUCUCAUUACCACCAAAAUGAUAUGUUUCUUGUGUUUUAAUGUUCAAAUUUUAAUUGCAUAAUUUAAUCCAAAUUUGUGAAACACAUAUUAGAUGAAAUUAGGUUGAGACGAGUUCAAAGACAAUUCUAACUCAUUCUGAAGAAAAAAAUACAUUUUUUUUUGUCGAUUUUUAAAUUUAAAUCAGUUCAAAUAAGAUUUUCUAUCAUGAGAAUCUAGAGUUUUAUCUUUGGAUAAGUGGUUGAUGUUUCCUCUAUGUUUCUAGCAUCUGUUAAAAUUAUAUAUGUCACGAGAUAUUGUUAGCAAAAGAAAUCAAAUAAGUCUAAUGGAAAAAAAUCUUAUUCCAAAGAAAUUUUAAUAUAUAUUGUUUUCAGCUAAGAGCUUAAAAGAUUUUUAAUAUAUAUUGCUUGUCCUGUCUUUGAUUCAAAGCUCUUUUAUUUACCAUUGAUUAUUCAUUAAGCAUAAUUAAGUUCAUUUAAUCAGGGGUAAUAAUUUUUUAUUUUCCUUUUUUACUUUACUAUUCUCUUUAUUAUACUGUGUUGAUUUUAGUCAUGAGUGAGAGUCCUUAAAUUAGAACAUGCACUAAUUGAGUCCUUUUUCUAUUUGUGUUCAAACACUCUGUUUAGAAUGGGUUUUUGCUUUAUUAUUUCUCACAAGUUAUAAUUAGGUAUAAAAGGUCUAGAUCGAGGUCUAUAAUACCUAAUUUUCUUAUAGCUGUUUAUUUAUUGUACUAAUUAUUAUGUAGGUUUGGUUAUUUUAAAAGUAAUAACUUGAAUAGAGACUAAUAGUAUAGACUCCUUAGGUGAUUUUAAUAGUGAAUAAGUGAGUUCGACUAUGACAUAAAUUACUAAGGGUCUUUGGAUUAAAUAUAUGAUUGUUUCUUGGAAAGAAUAUUGUAUUCCCUAUGAUAAACAAUAGUGACGGGGCUACUAAAGGGUUGAGAUAAUUCCUACCAAAACACAGACCCCUUAAUCUUAAGGAUCUUAAUCUUAAGGAUAGGUGAGAGACGGUUAAAGACAUCAACGUUAUUCCUAUUAGCAUAGUUCCCCAGUUUGAAGUAUAAGCAAAGAGAUUAUUAAAGACAUUAGUAUUAUUUUAACCAGUAGACAACCCCUCAAAGCAUAAAUAAAAAAUGUUUCUUUUGUGCCUUUUUUUUUCAGCAUAUUAAUUUUGUACUGGUUGGGACUGGACGAAUUUCAGAUGUCUCAGUACUUUAUAUCGACUAAUAGACAUGUUUAAAGUGUAUUAAUGUCAAGAUAUGUAUUAAUAAGGCUUAGUCGUACGGAAGACUAGGCUUAAUCACAAUUCAUAUACUAAUCUCGGUCCAAUAGGAAGAGGGUCCAUCAGAGGAAUAUAAAUAAGCACAACUUCCAAGGAGAAGGUACGUUGUUAUUACGCAUUUAUUACACACUGAAUACCAAACACUUACUUGAGGGUCCAAGCACCUUUUGCAAGUGUUCUCCCAAUCGAGAACGAACAAUAGAAGUAGAGCUUGAUCGAAGGUAGUGAAUGAGAGUAAAGGAAGGAAGUUGAUCCCGACUGAACCUAAAGAGUUAAAAAAGAAGGAGCAAAGAAAGGUAGUAUCGAUCGAAGCAAAGAAAUCAAUUGUUUAACCAAUAAGAAUUCUCUCAAUCCCUUUUAUACGAGAACAAUUUCAUAAAUAUUAAUCAAAAACUAAGGUUAACAUGACAUUACCAUAACAUGGUCCAAGAUCAACCUUUGUAUAUAUUUUCUCAUGUAACUUAAUAUAUUUAUUAGAUGACUUCAUUGAAUAACAUAGAUUAAAAAUUAAUUUGAUCAUUUUGUUUGGUUCAUCGUCAUCAUUUUAUUUAUUUUGCAUAACAAUAUAUUUUGAAAUUAUUAUGUUGGCUCCAUAUAGAUGUCAAUUUUAACAUGAAAAUGAUAUAUUUUGACAUUUUAUUGGUGUAAUUGUCAUUCAAUCUAUACAAUCAUAAAUUAAGAUGAAAUGUGCGACGAUGUGUUUAGAAUUAUUAAAUAACUCGAUUUGUCAUUCACAUUAUAGGGUUCAAGGAUCAUGUUAUGGGACUCAAUGACCACACUAUGAAAGCUUCAGUUCUCAUUCUCAUUCCCCACCUUCAGUAAAACUCGUAUUCUCUUGUAGUCUCUCGAUCAGGAGAACAUCUAUAAAAGGUGUUUUCGUUUUCGGUACAGUAAAUAUACAAUAUUAACGUCCAUUUUUUUUAAAGUUGUCUUUGUGAUG
rnacentral:lncRNA from 1 species